UACGUAGGGUGCAAGCGUUGUCCGGAAUUAUUGGGCGUAAAGAGCUCGUAGGCGGUUUGUCGCGUCGGCUGUGAAAACUCGGGGCUCAACCCCGAGCCUGCAGUCGAUACGGGCAGACUAGAGUGCUGUAGGGGAGACUGGAAUUCCUGGUGUAGCGGUGAAAUGCGCAGAUAUCGAGAGGAACACCUGCGGCGAAGGCGGGUUGCUGGGCUGACACUGACGCUGAAGUGCGAAAGCUAGGGGAGCGAACGGG
rnacentral:rRNA from 1 species